AACGCACAUUGCGCCCGCUGGAAUUCCAGCGGGCAUGCCUGUUCGAGCGUCAUUUCACCCCUCAAGCCUUGCUUGGUGUUGGAGCACUACCGUUUGCACAAAGCGGUAGGCUCUGAAAUUCAGUGGCGGGCUCGCUAAGACUCUGAGCGUAGUAGUUUAUCACCUCGCUUUGGAAGGAUUAGCGGUGCUCUUGCCGUAAAACCCCCCAAAUUUCUGAAUUUUGACCUCGGAUCAGGUAGGAAUACCCGCUGAACUUAA
rnacentral:misc_RNA from 1 species